rnacentral:rRNA from 1 species
CCUACGGGCGCUGCAGUGGGGGAUAUUUCACCAUGGGGGGAACCCUGAUGCAGCGACGCCGCGUGGGUGAAGGAGCGUUUCGGCGCGUAAAGCCCUAUCGGCAGGGAAGAAGAUGACGGUACCGGACCAAGAAGCCCCGGCUAACUACGUGCCAGCAACCGCGGUAAUCCGGAGGGGGCAAGCGUUAUCCGGAUUUACUGGGUGUAAAGGGGGCGCAGACGGCAAUGCAAGCCAGGAGUGAAAGCCCGGGGACCAACCCCGGGACUGCUCUUGAAACUGCAUGGCUGGAGUUCAGGAGAGGCAGGCGGAAGUCCUAGUGUAGCGGUGAAAUGCGUAGAUAUUAGGAGGAACACCGGUGGCGAAGGCGGCCUGCUGGACUGUGACUGACGUUGAGGCCCGAAGGCGUGGGGAGCAAACAGGAUUAGAUACCCUUGUAGUC